UAUGGAGAGUAAUUCAAUAGAAACCUAUGAAUCUCGUCAGGUCCGGAAGGAAGCAGCGAUAAAUAGUAAUUUCUAUGUGGAUUACUCUCCAUAGAG
rnacentral:SRP_RNA from 1 species